rnacentral:rRNA from 1 species
AUUGAACGCUGGCGGCAGGCCUAACACAUGCAAGUCGAACGGUAACAGGAAGCAGCUUGCUGCUUCGCUGACGAGUGGCGGACGGGUGAGUAAUGUCUGGGAAACUGCCUGAUGGAGGGGGAUAACUACUGGAAACGGUAGCUAAUACCGCAUAACGUCGCAAGACCAAAGAGGGGGACCUUCGGGCCUCUUGCCAUCGGAUGUGCCCAGAGGGGAUUAGCUAGUAGGUGGGGUAACGGCUCACCUAGGCGACGAUCCCUAGCUGGUCUGAGAGGAUGACCAGCCACACUGGAACUGAGACACGGUCCAGACUCCUACGGGAGGCAGCAGUGGGGAAUAUUGCACAAUGGGCGCAAGCCUGAUGCAGCCAUGCCGCGUGUAUGAAGAAGGCCUUCGGGUUGUAAAGUACUUUCAGCGGGGAGGAAGGGAGUAAAGUUAAUACCUUUGCUCAUUGACGUUACCCGCAGAAGAAGCACCGGCUAACUCCGUGCCAGCAGCCGCCGCGG